rnacentral:rRNA from 1 species
UACGGAGGGUGCAAGCGUUAUUCGGAUUUACUGGGCUUAAAGGGUGCGCAGGCGGUUUUGUAAGUCAGAUGUGAAAUCUCUGGGCUUAACCCGGAAAUUGCCAUUGAUACUAUAUAUCUUGAAUGCUGUGGAGGUAAGCGGAAUAUGUCAUGUAGCGGUGAAAUGCUUAGAGAUGACAUAGAACACCUAUUGCGAAGGCAGCUUACUACGCGGUAAUUGACACUGAGGCGCGAAAGCGUGGGGAUCAAACAGG